GCCGGUAUAGCUCAGCUGGCAGAGCAUGAGACUCUUAAUCUCAGCGUCAUGGGUUCAAGCCCCAUGUUUGGCA